GAAGCUAUAGCUCAGUGGUAGAGCUCAUGCCUCAUGCACGAGGUCUUGGGUUCAGUCCCCAGUACCUCCA
rnacentral:tRNA from 1 species